rnacentral:rRNA from 1 species
CACGCCGUAAACGAUGAAUGCUAGGUGUCGGGGGGCAAAGCCCUUCGGUGCCGCCGCUAACGCAAUAAGCAUUCCACCUGGGGAGUACGUUCGCAAGAAUGAAACUCAAAGGAAUUGACG